rnacentral:lncRNA from 1 species
CCUUGUGCUAAGGGCACCUCCGAAGGAGAGGUGCAACUCCUUCAUUCUACAUAUAAUGAAUCAGUGAAGCUACUGAAGAAAAACGUAUUUUGUUCGACAUUCUAGAGAGACACUGUGACACUAUACCGCUUUGGCAGUCCGCUGUGCUUCGCAACGCAACAUAACAUCGUGGCUGACUUCGAGGAACUCUUCAAGGAUGAAAAGCGUCCAAGCGUCAAGGUUACAAGCAAGCUGGACAACAUGGAAGCCUGCAGGGAUGCUGUGGCUACAAAGGCGGUAGUCAUGGACUGCUCCGCCAUAAGCUUUAUUGAUUCUUCCGGUGUUCACGCACUCGAUCAUGUUUUGGACAUUUGUAAACAAAACAAGUGCAUCCUGUAUUUGGCUUCACUUCAAGAUUCCACCUUACGAAUCAUAAGGACACAGGAAGCCCUGUUGCAGAAAAUUGGUGUCGACCACAUCACGCCUACAAUACAAGAUGCCGUCGCUUUGACUAAUAACGACUUACCUGCAAGACUAUUCGGAAGCCACAUACGAACGCAUCUUUGAUAGUAGC